rnacentral:rRNA from 2 species
GUGAACCUGCAGCAGCUGGAUCAUUUU